UUAGUCGGGUUGUCUGCUGGCUUUUAGGAGCAAUGUGCACGCCUGACAUUUUAUUUUACCACCUGUGCACUUUGUGUAGACUUGGGAGCAUUGUAUAUUAUCAAGUUGUCAAAUGCUUGGUUUGAGGUUUGCUUGUGUAGAUUUUCUUUUGCACUCUGGGCUUUCCUUGACAUUAUUUCCAAGUCUAUGUAUUUUAUUAUAUACUCUGUUAUAGAAUGUAAUGAAUGGGCAUGAAUGCCUAUACAACCUAAUACAACUUUCAACAACGGAUCUCUUGGCUCUCGCAUCGAUGAAGAACGCAGCGAAAUGCGAUAAGUAAUGUGAAUUGCAGAAUUCAGUGAAUCAUCGAAUCUUUGAACGCACCUUGCGCUCCUUGGUAUUCCGAGGAGCAUGCCUGUUUGAGUGUCAUGAAAUUCUCAACCUCCUAUCAAAGUUUUUGGGACUUUGUCUGGCUUGGACUGUGGAGAUAUUUGCUGGCGUCUGUCAAAAGUCAGCUCUCCUUAAAUGUAUUAGCAGAAUCCUUUUAAAGGUUAGCUUUUUAGUGUGAUAAUUAUGCUACCGUGUCUAUGAAGCUGGCUCUGUUGCCUUUGCAAUUCAGCUUCUAAACGUCUUGACCUUGCGUCGAUGACAAUGUUCGAGCUUGUCUCCCUUCUCGGGAAACCCUCUCGACACCAUGACCAUUUUUGACCUCAAAUCAGGUAGGACUACCCGCUGAACUUAAGCAUAUCAAUAAGCGGAGGAAA
rnacentral:rRNA from 1 species